rnacentral:rRNA from 1 species
CUUGACUGUAGCUUGAAAUUGGGUUCGGGCUUUUCUUGCGCAGACUAGGUGGGAGGCGUUGAAGGGAGACUUUUGGGUUUCCUGGAGCCAACAGUGAGAGACCACUCUGGAAGAGCUAGAAUUCUAAUGGCGUUCCUUGAAGCAGGACGCUUGACAGUUUCAGGUGGGCAGUUUGACUGGGGCGGUCACCUCCUAAAAGGUAACGGAGGUGUGCAAAGGUUCCCUCAGGCUGGACGGAAAUCAGCCGUAGAGUGUAAAGGCAGAAGGGAGCUUGACUGCAAGACCUACAAGUCGAGCAGGGGCGAAAGCCGGCCUUAGUGAUCCGACGGUUCCAUGUGGAAGGGCCGUCGCUCAACGGAUAAAAGUUA